GAUGAACGCUGGCGGCGUGCCUAAUACAUGCAAGUCGAGCGGACGGACGAGGCGCUUGCUUGUCUGAUGUUAGCGGCGGGCGGGUGAGUCACACGUGUAUACCCUACCUAUAGGACUGGGAUCACUUCGGGAAACCGGAUCUAACACCGGAUAAUAUUUUGAACCGCGGGGUUCAUCAGAGAAAUACGGCCUUGCUGUCACUAAUAGAGGUUUCCGCGCUGCAUUAGCUAGUUGGUAAGGUAACGGCUUACCAAGGCGACGAUGCAUAGCCGACCUGAGAGGGUGAUCGGCCACACUGGAACUGAGACACGGUCCAGACUCCUACGGGAGGCAGCAGUAGGGAAUAUUCGGCAAUGGGCGAAAGCCUGACGGAGCAACGCCGCGUGAGUGAAGAAGGUCUUCGGAUCGUAAAGCUCUGUUAGUAGGGAAGAACAGAUGUGUAUGUAAAUGUGGCCAUCUUGACGGUACCUACUCAGAAAGCACCGGCUAACUACGUG
rnacentral:rRNA from 1 species